GAUGAACGCUGGCGGCGUGCCUAAUACAUGCGAGUCGAGCGAACAGAUGAGGAGCUUGCUCCUCUGACGUUAGCGGCGGACGGGUGAGUAACACGUGGAUAACCUACCUAUAAGACUGGGAUAACUUCGGGAAACCGGAGCUAAUACCGGAUAAUAUAUUGAACCGCAUGGUUCAAUAGUGAAAGACGGUUUUGCUGUCACUUAUAGAUGGAUCCGCGCCGCAUUAGCUAGUUGGUAAGGUAACGGCUUACCAAGGCAACGAUGCGUAGCCGACCUGAGAGGGUGAUCGGCCACACUGGAACUGAGACACGGUACAGACUCCUACGGGAGGCAGCAGUAGGGAAUCUUCCGCAAUGGGCGAAAGCCUGACGGAGCAACGCCGCGUGAGUGAUGAAGGUCUUCGGAUCGUAAAACUCUGUUAUUAGGGAAGAACAAAUGUGUAAGUAACUAUGCACGUCUUGACGGUACCUAAUCAGAAAGCCACGGCUAACUACGUG
rnacentral:rRNA from 1 species